rnacentral:rRNA from 2 species
AUGAACGCCGGCGGUGUGCCUAAUACAUGCAAGUCGUACGCACUGGCCCAACUGAUUGAUGGUGCUUGCACCUGAUUGACGAUGGAUCACCAGUGAGUGGCGGACGGGUGAGUAACACGUAGGUAACCUGCCCCGGAGCGGGGGAUAACAUUUGGAAACAGAUGCUAAUACCGCAUAACAACAAAAGCCACAUGGCUUUUGUUUGAAAGAUGGCUUUGGCUAUCACUCUGGGAUGGACCUGCGGUGCAUUAGCUAGUUGGUAAGGUAACGGCUUACCAAGGCGAUGAUGCAUAGCCGAGUUGAGAGACUGAUCGGCCACAAUGGAACUGAGACACGGUCCAUACUCCUACGGGAGGCAGCAGUAGGGAAUCUUCCACAAUGGGCGCAAGCCUGAUGGAGCAACACCGCGUGAGUGAAGAAGGGUUUCGGCUCGUAAAGCUCUGUUGUUGGAGAAGAACGUGCGUGAGAGUAACUGUUCACGCAGUGACGGUAUCCAACCAGAAAGUCACGGCUAACUACGUGCCAGCAGCCGCGGUAAUACGUAGGUGGCAAGCGUUAUCCGGAUUUAUUGGGCGUAAAGCGAGCGCAGGCGGUUGCUUAGGUCUGAUGUGAAAGCCUUCGGCUUAACCGAAGAAGUGCAUCGGAAACCGGGCGACUUGAGUGCAGAAGAGGACAGUGGAACUCCAUGUGUAGCGGUGGAAUGCGUAGAUAUAUGGAAGAACACCAGUGGCGAAGGCGGCUGUCUGGUCUGCAACUGACGCUGAGGCUCGAAAGCAUGGGUAGCGAACAGGAUUAGAUACCCUGGUAGUCCAUGCCGUAAACGAUGAGUGCUAGGUGUUGGAGGGUUUCCGCCCUUCAGUGCCGGAGCUAACGCAUUAAGCACUCCGCCUGGGGAGUACGACCGCAAGGUUGAAACUCAAAGGAAUUGACGGGGGCCCGCACAAGCGGUGGAGCAUGUGGUUUAAUUCGAAGCUACGCGAAGAACCUUACCAGGUCUUGACAUCUUGCGCUAACCUUAGAGAUAAGGCGUUCCCUUCGGGGACGCAAUGACAGGUGGUGCAUGGUCGUCGUCAGCUCGUGUCGUGAGAUGUUGGGUUAAGUCCCGCAACGAGCGCAACCCUUGUUACUAGUUGCCAGCAUUAAGUUGGGCACUCUAGUGAGACUGCCGGUGACAAACCGGAGGAAGGUGGGGACGACGUCAGAUCAUCAUGCCCCUUAUGACCUGGGCUACACACGUGCUACAAUGGACGGUACAACGAGUUGCGAACUCGCGAGAGUAAGCUAAUCUCUUAAAGCCGUUCUCAGUUCGGACUGUAGGCUGCAACUCGCCUACACGAAGUCGGAAUCGCUAGUAAUCGCGGAUCAGCAUG